GGUUCGAUUCUGGCUCAGAUUGAACGCUGGCGGGAUGUUUACACAUGCAAGUCGAACGGCAGCACGGACUUCGGUCUGGUGGCGAGUGGCGAACGGGUGAGUAAUGUAUCGGAACGCCUAGUAGCGUAGAUGAAUUCACGCGAAAGGUAGCUAAUACCUUCUGCCACCCCCGGGGGAAAGCGGGGACCUUCGCCUCGCACUAAUAGAGCGGCCGGGAUAUCGGAUUAGCUAGUUGGUGGGGUAACUGGUUCUCACCAAGGUGACGAUCCGUAGCUGAAGCUUGAGGACGACCAGCCAGCACCGGGACCGAGACACGGCCCAGACUCACGGAGGCAGCAGUGGGGAAUUUUGGACAAUGGGGAAACCCUGAUCCAGCCAUCCCGCGUGUGUGAUGAAGGCCUUCGGGUUGUAAAGCACUUUUGGCAGGAAAAGAACGGCACGGAUAAUACCCCGUGCAACUGACGGUACCUGCAGAAUAAGCACCGGCUAACUACGUGCCAGCAGCCGCGGUAAUACGUAGGGUGCAAGCGUUAAUCGGAAUUACUGGGCGUAAAGCGUGUGCAGGCGGUUCGGAAAGAAAGAUGUGAAAUCCCAGAGCUUAACUUUGGAACUGCAUUUUUAACUACCGAGCUAGAGUGUGUCAGAGGGAGGUGGAAUUCCGCGUGUAGCAGUGAAAUGCGUAGAUAUGCGGAGGAACACCGAUGGCGAAGGCAGCCCUCCUGGGAUAACACUGACGCUCAUGCACGAAAGCGUGGGGAGCAAAACAGGAUUAGAUACCCUGGUAGUCCACGCCCUAAACGAUGUCAACUAGCUGCUUGGGGCUUUCGGGCCUCGGUAGCAGCUAAUGGCAGAAGUUGACCGCCUGGGGAGUACGGUCGCAAGAUUGAAAACUCAAAGGAAUUGACGGGGACCUGCACAAGCGGUGGAUGAUGUGGAUUGUCUGAUGCAACGCGAAAACCUUACCUACCCUUGACAUGUCUGAAUCCCGAAGAGAUUUAUGCUCGCAAGAGAACCGGAACACAGGUGCUGCAUGGCUGUCGUCAGCUCGUGUCGAGAUGUUGGGUUAAGUCCCGCAACGAGUGCAACCCUUGUCAUUAGUUGCUACGAAAGGGCACUCUAUCGAGACUGCCGGUGACAAACCGAGGAAGGUGGAUGACGUCAAGUCCUCAUGGCCCUUAUGGGUAGGGCUUCACACGUCAUGUUAAAUGGUCGGGACAGGUCGCCAACCCGCGAGUGGGAGCCAAUCCCAGAAACCCGAUCAGUCCGAUCGCAGUCUGCAACCUGACUGCGUGAAGUCGGAAUCGCUAGUAAUCGCGGAUCAGCAUGUCGCGGUGAAUACGUUCCCGGGUCUUGUACACACCGCCCGUCACACCAUGGGAGUGGGUUUUACCAGAAGUAGUUAGCCUAACCGUAAGGAGGGUUAUCACCACGGUAGGAUUCAUGACUGGGGUGAAGUCGUAACAAGGCAG
rnacentral:rRNA from 1 species